rnacentral:lncRNA from 1 species
AUGGGGUGGACGCAGACCACUUCAGUGAUGCUCAAAAUAUCCAGACUGAACUCAUUUGAGGUGCUGAACAACCAGAGCUGGGGUCUUGUCAUCCAUAUUUGGGUGUGUGUGUGUGUGUGUGUGUGUGCACGCGCGUGGUCUUUCAAACCUUUGAAAAUUGGGGAUAAUUCAAACACAAUCUCAUCAGGAAAACCCUGGAUGAGAUUACCAUUGACAAUCACUCUUCCAAAAUGGUUAAUGGCAGGAAAGGUCACUAAAGUAACUUUUCAAAACCCAGGUAGGAGCCUGCAUGCUUGUUUGCUCUGCCAUGCCAUGGUGGUGAUGAGUGGGGCGAGGCUGCUGCAGAGAGGAGAGAAGAAAGGACAUGGAGCCUGUACCCAGGGAGCCUGUACCCAAGGCGGCAGGAGGGUGGCUGGGGACCUGCCCACCCCUGAGAAGAAAACCCACGGCCUGGAGACAUCUAUUGGUCAGUGUGGUACCCUGCGCAUUUACCUGAAGAUUAAAUGGUGCUGAUUACUAUCUUGGAGAUGUCAUGCAAUGAAAAUCUUGGCUUCCCUGUGGAAUAUGGGAGAUGUGGAGGAGGGUAAAUGAUUAUUUCGCCAGGUGAGCAAGUCUUCCAGGCAUCUCUCCAGCAUUGUGGUCAGGGCAAUCCCUGUGACUGCUAGUGAUGGUUUAGGAAUGAUUCACUUGGAAUUGUCUUCUGGGUUUACCUUUAGUGGGUAGUCAUUUCCAUGAUUACGAAUAAGAAUGUGCUUUCCAGGAUUCUGGAACAUUGUGAGUAGAAGAAAGAGAGUGACAACUUUGGGAGGUGACGGGAUCAUCUAAAAAAAUCCAGGGAAAGUAAAAAUUAGGAAAAAAUGAGCAACACUAAAUAUUGUAGAUAUCAGAGGGCAAAGUUCUCAUGAAGCCUCAGGGAAAAAAAGAAUCCUGGAAGAGAUAAAGUGUCGAGUUCCAAACACUGAGAAAAGAAGUGGAUUAAAUGAGUUAUUUCCAGGUUUUGAUGGAAGCUGAAGUGGAGAGAUUUCAAGGUGAGGUGAGAAGUAGGCUCAAUUCUAUCAACAUCCCACAGGUGACCAGGAUUUCCUCCGCUCAAAAUAGCAGCUGCUCCAUCUGACCUGGAGUAGAAUAUUUCUGAGUAGUUUCCAAAGCAGCUGAAUCCUGCCAUCCCUGGUAGUCCUGAACGCGCGAGGAAUUCUUUUCUUCCUUUCCUACAACUGUUUCUCCCCUCUAUUUAGUUCUGCUCCUCUUCCCCCACAGUCCCUGGUUAGAUUUCUGGCUACUGGGAUAGUUUAAUUGAAAAGGGUACAAGGCAAAUGGCCUGGCUUAGAAGCUGUAAGUGUGAUUUAAUGCCACUUUUCACAUUCAAUGGUGGGAGCCCACAGAGAAGCGUGCUAAAGACAAGAAUCUUCUACUGAAG